GCUCCAAUAGCGUAUAUUUAAGUUGUUGCAGUUAAAAAGCUCGUAGUUGAACCUUGGGAUGGGUCGCCGGUCCGCCUCGGUGAGCACCGGUCGGCCUGUCUCUUCUGUCGGCGAUACGCACCUGGCCUUAACUGGCCGGGUCGUGCCUCCGGCGCUGUUACUUUGAAGAAAUUAGAGUGCUCAAGCAAGCCUACGCUCUG
rnacentral:rRNA from 1 species